rnacentral:rRNA from 1 species
CCUACGGGUGGCAGCAGUGAGGAAUAUUGGUCAAUGGGCGCGAGCCUGAACCAGCCAAGUAGCGUGAAGGAUGACUGCCCUAUGGGUUGUAAACUUCUUUUAUCAAGGAAUAAAGUGAGGCACGUGUGCCUUUUUGUGUGUACUUUAUGAAUAAGGAUCGGCUAACUCCGUGCCAGCAGCCGCGGUAAUACGGAGGGUCCAAGUGUUAUCCGGAAUUAUUGGGUGUAAAGGGAGCGUAGAUGGGUUGUUAAGUCAGUUGUGAAAGUUUGUGGCUCAACCGUAAAAUUGCAGUUGAAACUGUCAGUCUUGAGUAUGCGAGAGGAAGGCGGAAUGCGUGGUGUAGCGGUGAAAUGCGUAGAUAUCACGCAGAACCCUGAUUGCGAAGGCAGCCUGCCGGCGCCCUACUGACGCUGAUGCACGAAAGUGCGGGGAGCGAACAGGAUUAGAUACCCGAGUAGUC